CGCAGGACCGCCCCCCCUGUGCCCGCCCAGCCCUCCUGCCCGCCCGGAAGCUUCAGGAACCUCAACCGCAGCUGCUCCUCCAGCUCGCAGGGAAUCGCCAACGCCAUCUCCAACAUCGGACUCGGUUAAAGAAAACGGGUUCCGGAGGCCUUUUGGCGGGCUUUUUAAAUCGCUUCUUUUCUGUUUCGUGUGUUUUGGUUCUUUUUUAUUUUUUGAACUUCUGUACUCCUCUUUUCGUGAUUUUUUUUCGGAUAUUUUUGUUUUGCUUUACUUUCGUUUAUGCACAUUUUCUUUUUUCUUUUUCUCUCUCCGCCUAUGCACAUGUUAUUUCCUUUUCUCUCUCUUUCUCCUUUCGCCUCUUUCUUCCUCUUUUGGGCACUGGGUGUUUGUCUUGAGUCGCAGACGAUCUUUUUUGCCGAAAGUUUUCUUUUUUACUCAUCUAUUACGAAACUCCAGAUGAAUUCCAUAUUUUGAGGAGAUA